GACGAACGCUGGCGGCGUGCUUAACACAUGCAAGUCGAACGGAAAGGCCCUGCUUUUGUGGGGUGCUCGAGUGGCGAACGGGUGAGUAACACGUGAGUAACCUGCCCUUGACUUUGGGAUAACUUCAGGAAACUGGGGCUAAUACCGGAUAGGAGCUCCUGCUGCAUGGUGGGGGUUGGAAAGUUUCGGCUGUUGGGGCUGGACUCGCGGCUUAUCAGCUUGUUGGUGGGGUUGUGGCUUACCAAGGCUUUGACGGGUAGCCGGCCUGAGAGGGUGGCCGGCCACAUUGGGACUGCGAUACGGCCCAGACUCCUACGGGAGGCAGCAGUGGGGAAUAUUGCACAAUGGGCGGAAGCCUGAUGCAGCAACGCCGCGUGCGGGAUGACGGCCUUCGGGUUGUAAACCGCUUUCGCCUGUGACGAAGCGUGAGUGACGGUAAUGGGUAAAGAAGCACCGGCUAACUACGUG
rnacentral:rRNA from 1 species